UAUUGCAGUGCAGAAAAACUUUUUACUUUUUCCCUGCGUGGCCUCAACUGGGAUGCAACUGAGAGACUGCCAUCCUACCGUGGUAGAUUACUUCUAAUGGGCCUUCCAUCCUUAGUUACUCGUAGAAAAAUUAGGCUAAUUUAAUUAGGCAGCCUGGAGGCAAAAUUUGAUGGCUCUAGCUCUUACAGUCUCUGAGAACUAACCCACAAACAAGAC
rnacentral:lncRNA from 1 species